AUGCUCGUCCUCGUGCUUCUGUCAUCUCAAGAGCUAGCCUUGAAGAUACAGACACUAUGCCAUGAUCAGCCACAUCGUCAGACCUAUCCCUGAUAGACAACAUGUGGCGCAGUGCUUUCGUGUCUCUCAGCAGAGGAUACUGACCUGUGCGUUUCCCAUGUGAAGACACACCAGCAGCUCAUUUAAGGGAACAGUAACGUUUUUUAAUACUUUAUUCUCUUUAUUUUUGGGUUAAAAGUUGGGUUUGUGCUCUGCA